ensembl:lncRNA
GACACCCAGGUCAUUAUGUGUAUUAUUAAAGGCCCUGUACAGUCAACAUGAUGUCCUUCUGUUUUAUAUAUAUUUCCAUACUAUGAGGUUGGAAUAAUACUGUGAAAUUGUGAAAAUUAUGAUAAUGCUCUUUUAGUGUUACAGCUGUUUGAAAAGACUGCCUGAAAUUUCAGCCUGUUUUCUUGGAAUGGAGUUUUGGCCGGCCUGGUGACAUCAGCAGGAGGAGGUGGAUGUUGAUCCUGAUUACCAGCGUUAUUAGGGACUCAAGGUCCUCUCCCAGUUCCUGAGAGGCCAGCUCAUCCUUGAUGGAGUUAGACAACCCCUGGUGGAAAGUGAUGACCAGUGCCUCUGUAUUCCACCCACUCUCGGUGGCGAAGUCAGCCACUGGUCUGGCCCCUUGGCGGAUGUUGAACAGUUGGCUGGCCGCUUCUCAUCCGCCGACUGGGUGGUCAAAAACCCGUCGCAGCUCGGCAGUGAAGGCUAAUAUGGAGCUGCAGGAGGGUGGCUGCUGUUCCCACACUGCUGUUGCCCACGCCAGGGCAAUGCCCGAGAGUAGAGAGAUUAUGUAGGCGAUCAUGGCCCGAUCGGUGUGGAACGAGGAGGACUGUAGCUCGAACACCAGAGUGCACUGGGUGAGGAACCCCUUGCAACCUCCCGGGUGGCCUUCAUUCCGCUCGGGGGCUGGGAUCUUGGUUUCCUGGUGCCACACAGGACCUCUAUACCAGGUGGUGUCAGGGGAAGGCCCUAAAAGUUGUCAAAGACUCUAGCCACCCUAGUCAUAGACUGUUCUCUCUGCCACCGCACGGCAAGCGGUCCCAGAGCACCAAGUCUAGGUCCAAGAGGCUUCUAAACAGCUUCUACCCCCCCUGGCCACGCUAUUGCUAUUUACUGCUGCUCUUUAAUUAUUUGUUUUUCUUAUCUCUGUCACGCCUUGGUCUUAGUAUUUUGUGUUUUCUUUCUUUAUUUGGUCAGGCCAGGGUGUGACAUGAGUUUAUGUUGUGGUGUGUUUUUGUAUUGGGGUUUUAGUAGGUAUAGGGAUUGUGGCUGAGUAGGGUUGUCUAGGAAAGUCUAUGGCUGCCUGAGGCGGUUCUCAAUCAGAGUCAGGUGAUUAUCGUUGUCUCUGAUUGAGAACCAUAUUUAGGUAGCCCGGGUUUCACUGUGUGUUUGUGGGUGAUUGUUCCUGUCUCUGUUGUCACAAGAUAGGCUGUAUAGGUUUUCACGUUCCGUUUGUUGUUUUGUAGAUUUAAGUUAUUUCAUGUAUCGUUCAUCUUCCAUUAAAGAACAUCAGUAACCACCACACUGCAUUUUGGUCCGACUCUCCUUCGACGGAAGAAAGCCGUUACAAUCUCCUACUUUUUUUGUAUUUUCUUAAAAUUGCAUUGUUGGUUCUUAAGCCUACCCCCUACUUUUUUUGAACAUUCUGUUAAAAAUCGCGC